GUCACGGCAUAAUCUCUUAUAAAUAAAUGUCAGUGUAGUCACUGAAUGCAGACUGGAUUUUUGCCUGACUACGGUGCUCAGCCUUCUAGACAAUAGUUAUGCUAAGGGAUUAUCUUUUAGCAUUGUGCAGUUAUCUCCUUUGUUUGUUUUCUCUUUUCAUUAUUCACAUAAGCCAAGGGAAAUGAAAAGCAUCUUAUUUCAAGCAAAAAGGCCUGUGAAUGAUUAACUCUGGUUCCAUGCAUUGGGACUUUGCAUAGCAACCCCUUGGCUUGCAACGACAAAAAAGCUCAAGGCAGGAACCGCAGCCCAGGGACCUGAGACCAACGUUCUCAAAUGAAGGCAGAUCUGCUGUUAGAGGAGAAUUCUUCUGUCCUAGCUGUGUCUCUGUGAUCUGUGGAUGAGGAUGGGAAAGGACCAGUCAAUCAAUCGGGGUGUACAAAAUGGAGUUUGAGAAGGUCUCACAUCCAGGUCGUUUUGAAGCAAAGUCCAAGCAUUGUAUCACUUCAUCUGCAAAUAUUUCAAUAAGUACCCAAAAGUGGUUGGACUGAGUCCCAUGAAGCCAGAUCACUUCUGACUGCAAGGAGCUUGGGAAAGCAAGUAUCUGGAUCUUUUACCAGCUAAAUUUGGAGCGAUGAGGCUUCCUCUUUGAAGAUCACAGGUGAGAAGAUUAGGUGCUUUCGCAGAAGCCCAACAACCUGAUGGGAGUGUGGAGUGAGCCAGACCCAAAUCAGAGCUUCAUCCCUGCAUGGCUUAUUUGGCAAACUUGCCCUGCAGAAUCUACUCAAGCUUCCUCAGUUUCUCAGAUCAUUCUUGGGCAACAAACGAACAAGAAAGAGGAUGUCUUAUUAUCUGGUGUCUGGCUAGCUGAUUUAAUAACCUAGAAGACAGUGUUUGAAGAACACAAACUCUAAAGUCCUUCACUUUAAAAAAAAAAAAAAAAAACUUUCCCGAAUUGCUUACCAUUUGGGAAAAAUUGCCUUACCUUCUUCAGUCAUCUCUGAUGUUGUCACCCUCAGAGUAAGAAGUACGCAUUCAUAAGGAACCAUAACGUCCUUCAGGAAAUCCACUACACCCUACAAUUUUACCUAAAUUUUGAUGUUGUUUUUUUCUGUCCAUUUUACCCUCUAGGGAAAUGGAUCUCAUGCUGUUUAUCAGUUUCUGAAAGUUGUUAUUAAUCUCCCCUCAUCCCCAAAUUGAAGAACUUUGCUUAAAUCUUAGAAUCAGAACUUUGGCUCCAGUAAUAAAGACUUUUCAAUAUCUUUGUCUCCCAUUGAGUCUUACCUAACGAAAUAGAGCCUCCACAGUGGGAA